rnacentral:rRNA from 1 species
UUUAUUUGAUUUCCUUCGGGACUGAUUAUUUUGUGACUGAGUGGCGGACGGGUGAGUAACGCGUGGGUAACCUGCCUUGUACAGGGGGAUAACAGUUGGAAACGGCUGCUAAUACCGCAUAAGCGCACAGCAUCGCAUGAUGCAGUGUGAAAAACUCCGGUGGUAUAAGAUGGACCCGCGUUGGAUUAGCUAGUUGGUGAGGUAACGGCCCACCAAGGCGACGAUCCAUAGCCGACCUGAGAGGGUGACCGGCCACAUUGGGACUGAGACACGGCCCAAACUCCUACGGGAGGCAGCAGUGGGGAAUAUUGCACAAUGGGCGAAAGCCUGAUGCAGCGACGCCGCGUGAGCGAAGAAGUAUUUCGGUAUGUAAAGCUCUAUCAGCAGGGAAGAUAAUGACGGUACCUGACUAAGAAGCACCGGCUAAAUACGUGCCAGCAGCCGCGGUAAUACGUAUGGUGCAAGCGUUAUCCGGAUUUACUGGGUGUAAAGGGAGCGCAGGCGGUGCGGCAAGUCUGAUGUGAAAGCCCGGGGCUCAACCCCGGUACUGCAUUGGAAACUGUCGUACUAGAGUGUCGGAGGGGUAAGCGGAAUUCCUAGUGUAGCGGUGAAAUGCGUAGAUAUUAGGAGGAACACCAGUGGCGAAGGCGGCUUACUGGACGAUAACUGACGCUGAGGCUCGAAA